UAUUACAUCUAUAUUAAAGAAUAUUAUAUUAUCAUCAGGCUAAUUUCCCUUGAAGUGAUCAUUCGGCAUGCACGUACCUCUCCGGCAACGGAUGUUGGGAAGAUUAUGUAUUCAACCCUCUUUGUAAUUUUGGUGAACAUCUAGUGGAUUGGGCUGACGUGAGUUGCCCCGCAGACGUAGGAGAAGUGUUCCGAACUGCGUGAUCAAUAUCUGGUUCCUGGUUUCUAUGAAACUGGAGAAAACAUUGGUAGGAUUAAAGACUAAAUUGGAAGAAGGGUAUUCAUGGACUUUACUCCGUCAGUUAGAUCAUCAGCACGGUGUGUACCUAGAUGAAGAUUAUCAAAGAACAAUUUGUCACUCCAAGCUCGCUGUUGCCUGGAGAUUAAUGGAGGAUUCUUUCGGACAAAUCUUUGAUAGCUACACAAAAAUUAACGUUAUCAAAAACGUCAUUUACAACUGUGGUUCAAAUUUCAAUAGAAUUGACUUCAAAGGCGGCUUCUACACCGCUGUCUUGGAAACAAAUGGGGAAAUAGUUUGUGUUGCAGCUCUAAGGAUAUAUCCAUGACAAAAUGAUUGCUGAAAUGCCUUUCAUUGCUUCCCAUUUUGCUCAUAGAUGUAAAGGGAUGUGUAGAAAGCUUAUGAUUGCUAUUGAAUCUGUGCUUUGCUACUUCAAUAUAGAGAAACUAAUCAUUCCAUAUGCAUCAGAAAAGACAGAAAGUUGGAAGAAAAAGUAUGGAUUUAGUGUAUUGGAUGAUGAAACAAUGAAACAUCUAAUAAACUACAAUGCAUUGAUGUUCCAUGACGCUGUUAGACUGCAAAAGAUCGUCCUUCCUUGCAACAAAUGACCGAAUUAAACAUUACGCUACUACUGCUGCUUUGAUGCCGGUUUCACGGCUGCAGCGGCUAAGGCAGCGUAUGGGGGGAGUUUAUUUGACCGGCAUGGGGUGUCUGUGGCAGCAACGUAACUAACGGACCAUUGGAUUGUGUUUAUAAUUCUCUUCUGGCACGAUAAGGAAGCACUUUCCUGGAUCAAAGCGUGAGGUUUGGAGGUGAUGGUACGGAUGGUUUCUGAUUGUCUUAAUUUAGUUCGUGGUAGCUUUAAAAGGUGAUCGUAUUGAUAAAACUUAUGUUGGCUCUGUUAUUCAUUAUUGUCUUUCUUUACAUAGUUCUUUUGUUUCUUUAGAGUUUUAUCAUAUUAGUCAUUUUGUGAA